rnacentral:rRNA from 1 species
AGUGAAUAGAUACCCUGGUAGUCCACGCUGUAAACGAUGAGUGCUGGACGUUGGCGGGUUUACCUGCCGGUGUCGCAGCUAACGCGUUAAGCACUCCGCCUGGGGAGUACGGCCGCAAGGUUAAAACUCAAAGGAAUUGACGGGGGCCCGGCACAAGCGGUGGAGCAUGUGGUUUAAAUUCGACGCAACGCGCAGAACCGUUACCAGCCCUUGACAUGGGCGGACGGGUUCCGAGAGAUGGACUCUUUCUCGCAAGAGACCGCUACACAGGUGCUGCAUGGCUGUCGUCAGCUCGUGUCGUGAGAUG